CCCGGACAGCUCGUUAAAGGCUACACGGGGGAUGUUUGUCUCUGCUUGGGUCAGGUUUGACUCCAGUUUGCUCCCAACAUGGGCGGGCAGAGCAGGGGGCGAGGGGACAGGUGAGGCUGGAGAUCUGGUCCAGGUGUGAGACUCUGAAUAAGAUACAGCGGCGUGAGGGGAGGGGUUGUGGAGGUGAGCGGUGCGAUCCGGGUGAGGUGAGGCUUCCACGAGGAGUCUCUGAGUCGAACGGCCAUGAGAGGCAUCUCCUUCCUCGCGUGCGUUUUCGGGGAACAGGUGGCUGACCACCCCGGUUCCAGGUUCAAGCGGAUCACCGCAACUCCGCCUUCUCCUCCACCUCUCCAGCCAGAUUCGCGAGGCGCGCAGACCUCGGCUGUGGUGCACGUGCAGGCCGUCGUGGACCCUCUGAGCGGUGCCGCGAUGCUGGUGGAGCGCGUGGCGCCUGGUGUGGAGCGCGUGACCGGCCCUUGGCGCGAGCACAGACAGUCCACAUCAUAGACUGUAUACUCUGGAAGUCCACAGUGAUUAUAAACUAACAAGGCGCAAUGUAGAUUUUUUCUACUGACAAUCCACAUUAUAUACUGGAAACACAGUCCAUAUAGACUAUACACUGGAGUCCAUAUUGUAGACCGGUACACAAUGACAGUCUGCACUUUAGGUGAAUCCAACAUGCCAAGUGUACAGUAUUACUGAUUAAGCCAGCGCACAUAGCUGGUGAUGGAGUGCAAUCUCAUAAAGUUUUAACUGGGCUUCACUUGCGCUCUGAGCUUUUUUUAUUGUUGUUUCUAUUCUGAAAAGAGCCCGGUACAGAGCACGAGCAAUACAAACGGAAGGGGACACAAUACCCGUGGGCUUAAGCAUAAAACGCUGCUCUCGGGUUGGGGGGAAAGGGAGAGAAAAUGGGUUCACCACCCCACUUGCGUAAGAACUGCGAGCAGGAGCAUGGACUUUUCAUAAUGGGAAGGGAAGGGAAAAUGAGCAAAAAUAA